GGCUGGGGGAGCAGGGAGGUGGUUGAAGAAGUGCAGUCAUCUCUUGUCCCUUGCAAAGAAGAGCUGCAGCUGAUCUCUUUGUUUCCAGCUGAAAUGGAGGUGACCAGAGCAAGGAGCCUGAAGGAAUGGACUUGAUAUAGUCAGGGAGAGGUGUGGGAAGGAAGAGCUGAGGAUGGACUGACAGCUGCUGCUCAGGUCCUGCUGUGCUUCCUGCUGGUGUCAAAAGCAAUUGAAAAACUGGCACAAAAGAUCACAGGAAAGAGGAGAUUUCUGAUGCUGAGGUAUGAAGUUGGUAUUGUCCUGGCUGCCAGCCUCAGGACUCUCCAUGUCAGUGCAUCAGUGUGCUCACAUCCCAAUGGCGCCAGCCACUAAUUCAAGGGACAGGGAGAGAUCCAAAUCUUACCAGAUGCUCAAUAAAUCAGAGCGGGUCUUAUCACAGCUGAUUUCUGAGUUAUACUGUAGAACUCAAAUUCCUCCCGUGCCUCCCAGAUGCUGCAGAUUGUUCAGAGAUGGAAUUGGAGAAUAAUUGAAGUUGGAAAAGACUGCCAAGAUCACCAAGUCCAACCACCAACCCAUCACCUCCGUGCUCCCCAAACCAUGUCCUUUGUUGCCACAUCUACCCUCUUCUUGAAAACUUCCAGGUAUAGUGACUCCAAAACCUCCCUGGGCAGCUCCAGUUGAUCUGGAAAGUCCAGCUGAAUGUUAUCCACCCUACUUCCCACUGUAGCCAACAAAAUUCUGCUGUGGGUCCAAAUGUUAAUAGCUCCAUUAUGAACAGUAGAAGAACCUGUUUGUGGCCAUUGGUGAGAGGCACUGAUCGCUUUCUGACCUUGCAGCAGUGGGAUUUGAAAAUGUAGAGCAAUGGGUGUAAAUCAAUCCAUGGGCUCUUGUCAAAUCAGCUGUAAUGCUCUAUGAUGAGCUGAGCUACCAAAGAAGGAAGGCAAGUCACAAUCAGUGCUCAGUCAAAAUGUCAAGAAAGGGUUCAUUUUUUGCAUAUAUUCCAUGAUGUAGAACACAGAACUCAUGCAAUUUGUAUAGAGUUUUAUAGUGUGUGUGUAUGGGUAUAUCUAUAUGCAUACGUAUGUACAUGUAUGUUUGUCAUUAAGAAUGAACAGAGAUGACUUGGAUGAUUCUUAAGGAGUAAAUACCUGCAACAACCUGUGCAAUCUGGACAGCCCCCCCAUGCUGGGGGGCAUUCAUCAGGAACACAGC
rnacentral:lncRNA from 7 species